rnacentral:rRNA from 1 species
UACGUAGGGGGCAAGCGUUGUCCGGAAUCAUUGGGCGUAAAGAGCGUGUAGGCGGCUCGAUAAGUCUGCUGUGAAAGUCCAGGGCUCAACCCUGGAAGGCCGGUGGAAACUGUCGGGCUAGAGUCCGGAAGAGGCGAGUGGAAUUCCCGGUGUAGCGGUGAAAUGCGUAGAUAUUGGGAGGAACACCAGUGGCGAAGGCGGCUCACUGGUCCAUUACUGACGCUGAGGUGCGAAAGCGUGGGGAGCAAACAGG